rnacentral:lncRNA from 1 species
AUUUUUGGACAGCAGUUCAGUUUCAGUUCAGAUCUUUACCAGAGCUUCUUUGUGUCUUUUCCAUGCCAUAUGCUUCUGGAUUCAGUCAGUGAUAUGAUGGACAGGACCAGGGAUCCCCUCUCUGCCUCUUUCCCUUCUAAUAUUACCCCACUCUCUCUACAACAUUUACAAUUUUCUGGCUUCAUUUUGAUUUCUCAGACCAGAAAAAUUAAGUUUUCCUAAUGGACCACUGCCACUGCUGUCUGAGCCAUGAAGACAACACUUAGCCCAGGCUAAAAGCAGUGGAGUUGAAAACUUACUUGUCCAGAUCCAUGUCUCUCCUCCUUCAAGCAAGCAUGGACUCCCCCAUUAGAUCCUGUCAUCUUCUCUUCAGUCUCCAGUACUAUCAUAUGAUUACGUGCAGUCUCACAGUUGUUGUGUGCAGGGUGAAGAAAUCAUCCAACAGGAUCUUAGUCUAUUAUACCCUGAGGAAAUUCAGGAAGAGAAAGUUAAGUAACCUGACCAAGAU